AGGGUUUCCUGAGAAUCCAACUAUUGGAAGUCCAGGCUCCUCACGUCACAUGAACUUCACAGUACAUCAAAGAUCCUUAGAAUCUACAGAAACUUAGCAACUACAAGUAAAUAUUUCCAUCAGAUGACCAGCUUAAAAGUAAAGGGCACACAGCUUUUGCAGGAUACAUCUUGUGUUCAUCCAAUUUCCACGGUUGGGCCCUGGGUA
rnacentral:lncRNA from 1 species